AGUGAACGCUGGCGGUAGGCCUAACACAUGCAAGUCGAACGGCAGCACAGUAAGUGCUUGUUCUUACGGGUGGCGAGUGGUGGAUGGGUGAGGAAUACAUCGGAAUCUACUUUUUCGUGGGGGAGAACGUAGGGACACAUACGCUAUUACCGCAUAGGACCUACGGGUGAAAGCAGGGGAUCUUCCGCCCUCGCGUGAUCGUAUGAGCCGAGGUCGGAUUAGCUAGUUGGAGGGGUAAAGGCCCACCAAGGCGACGAUCCGUAGCUGGUCUGAGAGGAUGAUCAGCCACACUGGAACUGAGACACGGUCCAGACUCCUACGGGAGGCAGCAGUGGGGAAUAUUGGACAAUGGGCGCAAGCCUGAUCCAGCCAUACCGCGUGUGUGAAGAAGGUCUUCGGGUUGUAAAGCCCUUUUGGUUGGGAAGAAAAGCAGUAGGUUAAUACCCCGCUGUUCUGACGGUACCCAAAGAAUAAGCACCGGCUAACUUCGUG
rnacentral:rRNA from 1 species